GAGUUGAAAUAUUAUAAGCGUUGGGAGGAUUCUGCUGAAAAUGUGUUAGAAAGUGAUGAUGCGUCCUCAUUGGUUAUAAGGGUGCCGACGUAUACCAGUUUGUUAGAGGGGUGCUGACGGAGCAGACAUGUUAUUUCUUUGAAUGUGGUGGACAACACAGAGUGCGUUGGCAAAAACAUACCAUGGUAAUGUCAGAGCCUUUUUUGCGUCAGCAAAUUUGUGUGAUCCCAUCCUGCCGAGUUAGACGUAUGUUGGUUAGGUGCACUUUGAUUACCUAUGUCAUCGGAGUGUCAGUGACUCGAUCCUUUGUUUGCAUUCUAUGAGCGGUCGAGAAUUAGUUCUCGGUCUUUCAUGUGUCGUAAGAAUGUUCGAUUAUUAUGUAUUUUAACUGUUUGUAGAUUGACUGGGUGUUCGGUUUUACCCCUUUGUGUGUUUUGUUUGUGUAAAACGGGCUUUUUUUAUA